rnacentral:rRNA from 1 species
CCAGCAGCCGCGGUAAUACAGAGGGUGCAAGCGUUAAUCGGAAUUACUGGGCGUAAAGCGAGCGUAGGUGGCUUGAUAAGUCAGAUGUGAAAUCCCCGGGCUUAACCUGGGAACUGCAUCUGAAACUGUUAGGCUAGAGUAGGUGAGAGGGAAGUAGAAUUUCAGGUGUAGCGGUGAAAUGCGUAGAGAUCUGAAGGAAUACCGAUGGCGAAGGCAGCUUCCUGGCAUCAUACUGACACUGAGGCUCGAAAGCGUGGGUAGCAAACAGGAUUAGAUACCCUGGUAGUCCACGCCGUAAACGAUGUCUACUAGUCGUUGGGUCCCUUGAGGACUUAGUGACGCAGCUAACGCAAUAAGUAGACCGCCUGGGGAGUACGGCCGCAAGGUUAAAACUCAAAUGAAUUGACGGGGGCCCGCACAAGCGGUGGAGCAUGUGGUUUAAUUCGAUGCAACGCGAAGAACCUUACCUGGUCUUGACAUAUCUAGAAUCCUGCAGAGAUGCGGGAGUGCCUUCGGGAAUUAGAAUACAGGUGCUGCAUGGCUGUCGUCAGCUCGUGUCGUGAGAUGUUGGGUUAAGUCCCGCAACGAGCGCAACCCUUGUCCUUAGUUACCAGCGGGUUAAGCCGGGAACUCUAAGGAUACUGCCAGUGACAAACUGGAGGAAGGCGGGGACGACGUCAAGUCAUCAUGGCCCUUACGACCAGGGCUACACACGUGCUACAAUGGUAGGUACAGAGGGCAGCUACACAGCGAUGUGAUGCGAAUCUCAAAAAGCCUAUCGUAGUCCAGAUUGGAGUCUGCAACUCGACUCCAUGAAGUAGGAAUCGCUAGUAAUCGCGGAUCAGAAUGCCGCGGUGAAUACGUUCCCGGGCCUUGUACACACCGCCCGUCACACCAUGGGAGUUGAUUGCACCAGAAGUGGAUAGCUUAACCUUCGGGGAGGCGUC